rnacentral:rRNA from 1 species
GCCCUGUGAAGGUGAGCAAAUACCCAAAAAUAAACGUCCCAGUUCGGAUUGUAGUCUGCAACCCGACUACAUGAAGCUGGAAUCGCUAGUAAUCGCGGAUCAGAAUGCCGCGGUGAAUACGUCCCCGGGUCUUGUACACACCGCCCGUCACACCAUGGGAGCCGGUAAUACCCGAAGUCAGUAGUCCAACCUCGUGAGGACGCUGCCGAAGGUAGGAUUGGCGACUGGGGUGAAGUCGUAACAAGGUAUC